rnacentral:rRNA from 1 species
CCUACGGGAGGCAGCAGUGAGGAAUAUUGGUCAAUGGACGAGAGUCUGAACCAGCCAAGUAGCGUGAAGGAUGACUGCCCUAUGGGUUGUAAACUUCUUUUAUAAAGGAAUAAAACGAGGCACGUGUGCCUUUUUGCAUGUACUUUAUGAAUAAGGAUCGGCUAACUCCGUGCCAGCAGCCGCGGUAAUACGGAGGAUCCGAUCGUUAUCCGGAUUUAGUGGGUUUAAAGGGAGCGUAGAUGGGUUGUUAAGUCAGUUGUGAAAGUUUGCGGCUCAACCGUAAAAUUGCAAUUGAUACUGGCAGUCUUGAGUACAGUUGAGGUAGGCGGAAUUCGUGGUGAAGCGGUGAAAUGCUUAGAUAUCACGAAGAACCCCGAUUGCGAAGGCAGCUUACUAAACUGUGACUGACAUUGAUGCUCGAAAGUGUGGGUAUCAAACAGGAUUAGAUACCCGGGUAGUC